rnacentral:rRNA from 1 species
AUUGAACGCUGGCGGCAGGCCUAACACAUGCAAGUCGAACGGUAACAGGAAGCAGCUUGCUUCUUUGCUGACGAGUGGCGGACGGGUGAGGAAUGUCAGGGAAACUGCCUGCUGGAGGGGGAUAACUACUGGAAACGGUAGCUAAUACCGAAUAACGUCGCAUGAUCAAAGAGGGGGGACUUCGGGCCUCUUGCCAUAGGAUGUGCCCAGAUGGGAUUAGCUAGUAGGUGGGGUAACGGCUCACCUAGGCGACGAUCCCUAGCUGGUCUGAGAGGAGGACCAGCCACACUGGAACUGGGACACGGUCCAGACUCCUACGGGAGGCAGCAGUGGGGAAUAUUGGACAAUGGGCGCAAGCCUGAUGCAGCCAGGCCGCGUGUAUGAAGAAGGCCUUCGGGUUUUAAAGUACUUUCAGCGGGGAGGAAGGGAGUAAAGUUAAUACCUUUGCUCAUUGACGUUACCCGCAGAAGAAGCACCGGCUAACUCCGUG